UUCCUCUCAAUAUCUCCUCCCUCCCGACACACCUCCCAUCCUCGCCCCUCCCAUUCCCUCCUCUCCCGCCGCCGAAUCCCCCUCCCCAUCCUAUCCCGUCCUCCACCACGGCCUCCCCUCCCCCACCCCUGCGGCCGUCUUCCCUGCACGGGCAGAGCAACUCAGCUCGUGUGGCACGGCGCAGGAGCAGGCGCAGUGGACUAGCAUGGGGCGGGCUUCACAGAGUGCGGCCAAGCGGCUCGACAUGGGGUUGCCGGCCCUCCCCCGCCGCCACUCCCCCACCCGUCGCCCCUCCCUCCCGCUCCAGGCUCACAUAAAUCAGGCUCACACAAAUCCGAUGAUGGUGCUGGUCCGUAUUUUUUUUUGUGCUAGAGAAUGAGGCCUGAAGAUUUAUUUUUAUAUAAAUGUUUAGAUGGGUAAAAAUUGUUUUUGUAUAAAUAAGGCUUGAGACCCUUUCUGAUUCAUUUUUGUUGGCAACUUUCGCUGAAUCAUGAAGCAAUUUAUUUCGUUUUA